CGCCGCGGUUAUACGAGAGGCCCGAGCUGAUAGCCCUCGGCGUAAAGAGUGGUUAAGACAAGAAAGACACUAAAGUCGAACGACUCCAGAGCCGUCAUACGCUUACGAAGUUAAGAAGCCCCACCACGAAAGUGACUUUAAACCAACUGACCCCACGAAAGCUAGGGCA
rnacentral:rRNA from 1 species